GCUUCUUUGCCAGAAAACAAACCUUCAAUCGAUCGACCAAUCGAGCAUGUCUUCAAUGGAAACUGAGGUUUGUAAAUUAUUUUUAUUGAUUACAUCGCAACUGAUUUCAGCUGUUUAAAAAACAUCUAAUGAUUCUUAUAUUUGUUAAAUAAAGAUAAAAAAAUCGAUCUGAAUGAUUCAGAUUAGAUUGAAUAUAUAUUUAUUUGAAAGUACAGAAACCAUGGACGACAGAGUUGAGCGUGAGAAUGGACUGCAAUGGAUGUGUACAAAGGAUGAGAAGAGCUCUCAAUGGAGUAAAAGGUGUUCACGAUAUUCAAAUCGACAUGCCACAACAAAAGAUAACGGUUGUCGGAAAAGCAGAUCCAGAGAAGAUGGUUAAAGCUAUCAAGAAAACAAAAAAAAUAGCAACUAUUUCCUCACACAUAGACAACUCCGAAGAACCUGCUGCCCCGCCGUCUCCUGAUACAGACCCUCCUCCUCCGGCACCUGCUGAAGAACCUCCUGCUACAGAAGAAGAAACUCCACCGGCUCCUGAAGAAGCAAAGUCAGAAGAGAAUCCACCUCCACCUCCACAGGAGGAGAUACGUGGAGAGAUUCCGAUGGUGCACCCUUACCCACACCAAUGGAAUAAUUACGUGCAAGAUCAGUUUCCUUAUCAUGAUAAUUACUAUCUCACACCAAUGCAUAGUUACAAUAAUUCUGAACCGCCCUCUUCUGCAAAGAUUCUGGUAGUAGCUCCGGGAAGCUUUCAUCUUACAAAUGAAUAUUAUGACCAUCAGCAGCAGAAUUACGGCGGAGGGACUGAGGAUAACAUCAAUUCUAUCUUCAGUGAUGAGAACCCAAAUGCUUGUAUUAUUUUUUGAGAGAUUACUAAAAUAAUACCAUGGAGUGUGCUUAAUAACACAUAUAUAUUAAUUCACAUAUUAUAUUAUAUGUAAGAGCUCUAAAUCUAUUAAGCAUAUUAAUUCUCAAUUGCAUCAUUAUCAAAG
rnacentral:lncRNA from 1 species